GAUGAAGAACGCAGCGAAAUGCGAUAAGUAAUGUGAAUUGCAGAAUUCAGUGAAUCAUCGAAUCUUUGAACGCACCUUGCGCUCCUUGGUAUUCCGAGGAGCAUGCCUGUUUGAGUGUCAUGAAAUUCUCAACCUUUUCAGCUUUCUUUGUUGAUCAGGCUUGGAUGUGGGAGUAUGCGGGCUUCUCAGAAGUCGGCUCUCCUGAAAUGCAUUAGCGGGACCUUUGUUGUCUGGCUUUGGUGUGAUAAUUAUCUACGCCAUUGUAGUCAAGCAGCUUAAAAUGAGGUUUCAGCUUCUAACCGUCUCCCCUGAGACAACUUUUUGACAAUUUGACCUCAAAUCAGGUAGGACUACCCGCUGAACUUAAGCAUAUCAAUAAGCGGAGGA
rnacentral:misc_RNA from 1 species